GCCCGUGUUGCUCAGUAGAUAGAGCGUCAGCCUGUGGACUGAAGGGUCCCCAGUUCAAUUCCGGUCAAGGGCA
rfam:Myotis brandtii contig288086, whole genome shotgun sequence.